rnacentral:tRNA from 1 species
AUUAUUUUGGCAGAUUAGUGCAUUAAAUUUAGAAUUUAAGAAUAUAGUAAUACUAUAAAUAAUA